rnacentral:misc_RNA from 1 species
UAAUUUAAUAAUUUAAAUUAACAUAUUAGUAAAAUAAGUUAUUUGCAUCAUUAAUUAUUAUGUUGUAAUGGGUAAAGUUGAGAAUUUUUUAUUUUUCUUGCCAUACAUUAAUAUUUAUAAAUUAUUUUUCAUUAAUAUAAUAUAGAUUAAGUUAAUAAAGCAAUAAUUUUGUGUGUGUGUGUGUAUACAUAUGAGUUGAGUCAACAACAAAGAUAUAAUUGAUGUGGUUCAUGGCUAUUAAAUAUCUAAAGCUGGUCUCAGGUUCGAGACUUGUAGCCAUCAUUUCAAUUUUUUUUUUGAAGGAACUAGAAUACUCGUUCUAGUCCUAGCUGGGUUAUUGAUUCAUCGUUUACUCAUCUAGUUAUGGUUUCAAGUCACGGUCGCGGAUAACGGAAACAAGCCUAUAACAGUCUCAACGUAACGGUAAAGGUUUGAUGCUACACAAAUUUUUUUGAAAAUUUUG